CCAAUAGCGUAUAUUAAAGUUGUUGCAGUUAAAAAGCUCGUAGUUGAAUUUCGGGGUUAGUAGGUUGGUCAUGCCUCUGGUAUGUACUGGUCUCACUGAUUCCUCCUUCCUGAUGAGCCGUAAUGCCAUUAAUUUGGUGUUGCAGGGAAUCAGGACUGUUACUUUGAAAAAAUUAGAGUGUUUAAAGCAGGCUUUAGCUUGAAUACAUUAGCAUGGAAUAAUGAAAUAGGACGUUUGAUCCUAUUUUGUUGGUUUCUAGGAUUGACGUAAUGAUUAAUAGGGAUAGUUGGGGGCAUUAGUAUUCAAUUGUCAGAGGUGAAAUUCUUGGAUUUAUUGAAGACUAACUACUGCGAAAGCAUUUGCCAAGGAUGUUUUCAUUAAUCAAGAACGAAAGUUAGGGGAUCGAAGACGAUCAGAUACCGUCGUAGUCUUAACCAUAAACUAUGCCGACUAGGGAUCGGGCGAUGUUGUUUCCAUGACUCGCUCGGCACCUUAUG
rnacentral:rRNA from 1 species